rnacentral:rRNA from 1 species
GCCAGACUCCUACGGGAGGCAGCAGUGGGGAAUAUUGGGCAACGGGCGCAAGCCUGACCCAGCAACGCCGCGUGAAGGAAGAAGGCUCUCGGGUUGUAAACUUCUUUUAUCAGGGACGAAGCAAGUGACGGUACCUGAUGAAUAAGCCACGGCUAACUACGUGCCAGCAGCCGCGGUAAUACGUAGGUGGCAAGCGUUAUCCGGAUUUACUGGGUGUAAAGGGCGUGUAGGCGGGAAAGCAAGUCAGAUGUGAAAACCAUGGGCUCAACCUGUGGCCUGCAUUUGAAACUGUUUUUCUUGAGUACUGGAGAGGCAGACGGAAUUCCUAGUGUAGCGGUGAAAUGCGUAGAUAUUAGGAGGAACACCAGUGGCGAAGGCGGUCUGCUGGACAGCAACUGACGCUGAGGCGCGAAAGCGUGGGGAGCAAACAGGAUUAGAUACCCCAGUA